GACUGGGGCGGUACAUCUGCCAAAGAAUAACGCAGGUGUCCUGAGGCCAGCUCAGCGAGGACAGAAACCUCGCGUGACAACAUUGUUAUCAUUCCACCGGCAUACGAAGACAUCAUCAGCUAUUAAUAUAUAUUGGAAUUAUUUUAUAAGAGGACACCAUGG
rnacentral:ncRNA from 1 species